GCUUUGACCAUUUUCUCUUGCCAGGACCUUUGUUCCCCUUUCUCUCUCCCAAUUCCCCCCGUUUCUUCUCCACGUCUCAAACAAUUGUCUCUCUCCCAUCACAAAUCAUGGAGCCACACCGGCCUCCGGCCGCGAGCGCUUCCCCCACGUCGACCAGGCCUUCUCCUCCACCGGAGCUCGAGAGAGAGCUGACGGUACCGCCUUCACAUCCACCAGCAGCCGUGGUUGGGUGUCUGCUCCUCUUUCCCCGCUGCUCAUCUCAUCCCCUUCACAUAAGAUUUUGCUCGGCUUUAUUACCAAAUAAUGCUGAGCUUACCUGGCGACAGGGGAGGAUUAGAGGAGAGAGGAGGGCGAAACCAAUCAACCAUCACGACUCCAAGAUCCACUCCACCGCGCCGCGCUUAUCUAUCGCAGUAGAGAAGGAGUGGGACGGUGAUGCGCAAGAGCUCGAUGCAGCACCAGCAGUUCCGCGCCCGCGCCAAGACCCGCGUCGAUGUUCGAGGACCUCCAGGGCAUGGUCUCCGGCCUCCGGUACGAUCGGAAGGAAGCCCAGUUACAGCGACACCACCGUCCCCGAGUUCCAGCUCCAGAUGCUCAAUAACUGGUGCGCUGUGCUCAGCUUCUCCUGAUCCGCCUCCUCCCUUCAGGCUUCAGGUUCAAUUCCCUCUCCGUUUCACUUCUUCCCCACGAAAAAAAACUCAAUUAUUCUCCCACGGAGCAGCUACUACCGCUGCCCUGAACACAGCCAAACAAAUGAGAUGUGCAAGGUUCAGUACGGUCAACGUCAGCUAGCUAAUACUCUUCUAAUGAGAUUGAUAACAAAAUCCCUGCCCUUCCUGAAUCAAGGCUUUCACUUCUUUGACGAGGGUUGCGUAGCAUGAUCUGUUGGAUUCUGACAUCCGGAUUAUUUUCUCUGCAUUGCCAUUGGAUAAAACCUUCGUCCGGUGACUCUGUUUUCAGUUCGCCGCUUCCGCACGCCGAAGUGUGAAGUGCCGCCGAUGAGCUGCAAGGUCAUGUCUGGCAACAGCUGAGCGUGUGACCUCUAAAUGUUUCUUUAUAAUGUUUGUGCAGAUUGAUUAAACCAUGGUAUGGUACUAGAUGUGUGACAGAGAAAUUUAUAUUAGUUCACAUAUGAAGAAAUGCUCGAUUGGGCCAAUCUCUUUUAUGACGAAAAUCUGCUAGGUCAUGAUGUAUACGUCCUUAUCUACUAUGGUGUUCUUGAAAAUAAAGUUUGUGAUCCGAGGCUGCAAGCUGGCCAAUUUUCUGGAAAACUGACCAUUUGAUAUAUUUAGAUACCUUGCCAGGAACAAGUGUUGUGUACAGGAGGUUAAAAUCAAAGGAGACUGUUAUCGAGAAGAGUUUGUAGAUCAGGAAUAUGUCUUUGUGUCUGGAGACUCUGGACAUCAGGAAGGGACCUCUUCUUCAACAAGUGCCUCUCAACAGCGCAGCUUGCCGUUGAAACAUGACAAUCCUUCUGUUUCGCCUCCAAACUUGGCUGCCCCGAGUGCCCUUUGCCAAUAUAUGGCACCACAAUAAACAGGCAGCGGUCUGCUUGAACUGGUAGCUUGGACAGCCAUUGUUCUCCAAUAUCUGGUACUUCACAUAGACCUGCGUACCUGAGCCAUCUCUACCGCAGGUAUUGUACUAGAUGUGUGAUAGACAAAAUUAUAUCUGUUCACAUAUGAAGAAAUGCUCGCAUGGGCCAAUAUAUUUUUUGAUGAAAAUCUUCUAGGUCGUGAUAUAUACGUCUUUGUCUACUAUGGUGUUCUUGAAGAUAAAGUUUGUGAUCCGAGGCUGCAAGUUGGCCAUUUUUCUGGAAAACUGAUCAUUUGAUAUAUUGAGAUACCUUUCCAAGAACAAGUGUUGUGUACAGGAGGUUGCGACAAAGAGAAUAGAAUCUACUAAUACUUAAUAAUUCAUAGUAGUCAUGAAAGAUCUUUGCACGGUCCAUCAUGCCAGUCUCCUAUGAUUUAAACUAGAAGAAGAACUAACGACUCGGCGGCAGCGGCGGCCACAAGGGAGAGAGAAGAAAGAGGGUGCGAGUGUGGGAAAAGAAGUCGGGUGGUGUGCAUUCUCUAAAUUUCAUUGGAGACUGGCAUGAUGGACUAAAGCCAAGAAUCUGCUGUUUUGACUUUAAUUUCAUUGAUUAAACCAUGAAGUUUUGAUCUA